UGCCGCGUGAGGGAUGAAGGCCUUUGGGUUGUAAACCUCUUUUCUCAGGGAAGA
rnacentral:rRNA from 1 species